rnacentral:sRNA from 1 species
GGCCCAAAGCGGAGUGAAGGAGGGAGGCAGGGAGCCGGGGAGCCGGAACCGGAGUCGCAGCGGCGGUAAUAGUGCGAGACUCCUCUAAGUCACCGUCCUUAGCGCGGGACCGCGGGGUUCGACGGGAGUUAGCGGGGGUGCGGCCAGGCCGUGGGACGCCGGGGAGUCUUGGGGCCGAUGUGAAGAGAGGCGGGGGUGGGGGAGCCGGGCCGGCUCUAGAAUCGAGUUGUCCGCCCCGCGCCCCGGACGGACACUCUGAUCCGCGGGCUCGUCUUGGCCUUUCCCAGGAGACCCCUGUGCGGUGCGGAGGGGGCGGCGGCCCCGACUCUGACCCGCGCCGGGGGUGGGCCAUGGCGGAGAUCAGCGACCUGGACCGGCAGAUCGAGCAGCUGCGUCGCUGCGAGCUCAUCAAGGAGAGCGAAGUCAAGGCCCUGUGCGCUAAGGCCAGGUGUGCGGCGACAUCCAUGGACAAUUCUAUGACCUCAAAGAGCUGUUCAGAGUAGGUGGCGACGUCCCUGAGACCAACUACCUCUUCAUGGGGGACUUUGUGGACCGUGGCUUCUAUAGCGUCGAAACGUUCCUCCUGCUGCUGGCACUUAAGGUGGCAGUCCCUGGCUUCUGUACCCCCAACCUGGGCUACCUCGGGCCGGGCCUGUCUUAGUCCGUUCCGCCCUCAUCUCCUACCGUGACCAGCCCCACCUUGGAGCUGUGUCACUGGUGAUGGACCGAUUCUGCUUU